AGAGUUUGAUCCUGGCUCAGGACGAACGCUGACGGUGUGCUUUAGGCAUGCAAGUCGAACGAGAAAGCCCUUCGGGGUGAGUAAAGUGGCGAACGGGUGAGUAACACGUGGGCAACCUGCCCCUCGCAGGGGGACAACCGGAGGAAACUCCGGCUAAUACCCCGUAAGCUCUACACGCCGCAUGGCGAGUAGAGGAAAGGUAGCUUCGGCCAUCCGGCGAGGGAUGGGCCCGCGGUGCAUUAGCUAGUUGGUGGGGUAACGGCCCACCAAGGCGACGAUGCGUAGCUGGUCUGAGAGGAUGAUCAGCCACACUGGGACUGAGACACGGCCCAGACUCCUACGGGAGGCAGCAGCCAGGAAUCUUGGGCAAUGGGCGAAAGCCUGACCCAGCAACACCGUGUGGGUGAUGAAGGCCUUCGGGUCGUAAAGCCCUGUUGAUAGGGACGAAGGGCGAAGGGUUAAUAGCCCGGAGCUUGACGGUACCUUUCGAGGAAGCCCCGGCUAACUACGUGCCAGCAGCCGCGGUAAUACGUAGGGGGCGAGCGUUGUCCGGAAUUAUUGGGCGUAAAGAGCGUGUAGGCGGUUCGGUAAGUCUGUCGUGAAAUCCUGGGGCUCAACCCUGGGCGUGCGAUGGAUACUGCCGGGCUAGAGGGUGGUAGAGGCGGGUGGAAUUCCCGGUGUAGCGGUGAAAUGCGCAGAUAUCGGGAGGAACACCAGUAGCGAAGGCGGCUCGCUGGGCCACACCUGACGCUGAGACGCGAAAGCUAGGGGAGCGAACAGGAUUAGAUACCCCGGUAGUCC
rnacentral:rRNA from 1 species